UGUUAAUGGGCAAUUGAAGAACAAAUAUGGUGAUGCUUUCAUUCGUGGAAACAACGUGCUUUACAUCAGCACAUCAAAGAGGACACUAGGGGAGGGAGCUUAAAUCACGCACAAGAUUGACUGGCCUUGGUUAUCCUGUCUACUUUGAUUAUGUAACUGGCCUUUCUUCAACAUGUUGAUGAAGUUCCCUCUUAAUGUUGUAAUUUGUGUAGGCUUUGGUUCAGUCAUGGAUGUUAUCUUUAUUGGCUUUUGGUAUAGUGAGUCAAUGACAUUUUUUCGCAUUGCCAAGAUCAAGAAACAGUAGUUUCUCGUCGUUGAUUUGAGUUUUUGUUGAGUAUAGUUUGAUGCUGACUUUGUUUUGGAUAAUAGAUGCAUAUAUAAUAUACUUGCCUUGAAUCCUG
rnacentral:misc_RNA from 1 species